CCAGCUGCUGUGGGCCUCCAUGGAGCAGUUCCUCGAGACACCACCAGCACCUCCCCCUCCCCCGGUGUCUCCUACUCCUUCACAGCCGCUUAGGAAGGUUUCGCCUAAGCUGGUUGUGAAGGGAGAGGUACGUGCUCCUGUCUCCUGACCCCUUCCAGUGGAAGGUCGUUGGUCAGAGCAAGCAAGCCGCAGGUUCCUGGUCCGGCCAGCGUGGCUCAGCAGCAGGAGAAGGAGUCCUUCCUUCCACUGAACCCACGGUGGUUCAGUAGCACGACCCUUUGUACUAUGGA